rnacentral:tRNA from 1 species
GGGACCGUAGCUCAAUUGGUUAGAGCACCCGCCUGUCACGCGGGAGGUUACGGGUUCGAGCCCCGCCGGUCCCGCCA